CUUGUUGACUUCUUGUUACAUGCUUUCAUGUUAGAAGGGUUAAACUUUAUAGCAAUAUUCAUUGUUGCAAAACUAACAGUUUUGGCCUUAAAAACCAUUGGCAUGGUGUCAUUCUACUCUUAAUGUCCCUGGUUAUGCUGUAAACUUGAAGGAGAUCGGUUUCUGCAUAUUAUGCUAAAAGGAAAUGAAAUUGCUUGAAAAUUUGUACAACAUUCGUAAAAAAGAAAAGAAAAGAAAAGCUUGUUUAUGAAGGCUUUCUAUUAUCU
rnacentral:lncRNA from 1 species